GCUGCUUUGUUUACCCAAGCAAGCCUGGGCAAUGGCGGGCGCCCCUCCCCCAGCCUUGCUGCGGCCUUGCAGUUUGAUCUCAGACUGCUGUGCUAGCAAUCAGCGAGACUCCGUGGGCGUAGGACCCUCCUAGCCAGGUGCAAGAUAUAAUCUCGCGGUGCGCCGUUUUUUAAGCCGGUCCGAAAGCGCAAUAUUCGGGUGGGAGAGACCCGAUUUUCCAGUGAGAUGAACCCAGUACCUCAGAUGGAAAUGCAGAAAUCACCCGUCUUCUGCGUCGCUCACGCUGGGAGCUGUAGACCGGAGCUGUUGCUAUUCGGCCAUCUUGGCUCCUCUCCUGCACUGCAAGAAUGGACUAAUACGCUAUGUGAAGACAAAGGGGAUGUCUGCAAGCCAGGACGAGUGCGUCUACCAGAAACUGAGUUCUGCUGGACUUUGAUCUAGGACAUCCAGCCUCCAGAAUGGAAUGUGCCAUAUGUGGAGACCUGCAUGGAAAGGAACUGAGGAUGCUCUCUCACUAAAAGCUAGAAGGAACUGAGGCCCUCAGUCAACAGUCUACAAGACACUGAAUCUUGCCAGCAGCCAAGCAGUGAGCUUGAAAGCAGAUCUAUCAUCAGCUGAACCUUCAGAUGAGACCGCAGCCUAAGCAGAUACCUUGGUUGCAGCCAUGUGAGACAACCUGAAACAGAGGGCACAGCUAAGCCUCAGCCAGGUUCAUGACCCUCUGAGGAAACUGUGAGAAAGCAAAUGUCAUUUUAAGCUAUUUAAUUUUGGAGGUAGUUUAUUACACAACAAUAAAUAACUAUUAUAAUUAUCUUGAGGAUUUAUUUCCUGGGGAGAAUACAUGGAAUUGCAUAUAUAGGUCCUCAUAUGCAGAAUACUGGUACCCUAGAGAUGUUCACCCCAGAGAUGUUUUAGGAACCUGUGAAUAUGUUACAUUAAAUGGCAAAGUUUUCCUGGAUGGUUUAAGUUUAAGAUGGAAAAGUUUUACUGGAUUAUCCAGUGGGUCCAAUCUAGUAACAUGAGUCCUUAAAAAUGGAGAAUAUUUUUUGGCCAUGAUCAGAGAGACAUGUGAUGAUGGAAAAAGUGUCAGAGAUGCAAUGUGAGGGGACUAAAACUGCUGUUGCUGACUUUAAAGAUGGAGAGAGGGGAACCCGAGUCAAGGAAUGCAAAUGGCCUCUGGAAGCUGGAAAAAGCAAGAAAUGGAUUCUCCUUUAGAGCCUGUGGAAUAAAAUGCAGUCAUGCUGACACCUUGAUUUUACCUCAGUGAGACCAAUACUGGAGUAUGACCUUCGGAGCUGAAUAAAAUUAUACGUACACAUCUUAAUUUCUUGGGAUUUGAUUACUUCUUCUGCUUUGAAAUUAGACCAAGUUUAGCCUGCCUUUGCUAUUUUGGCGUAUCUCCAAUUCUUCAUGAUUUUCUCAUCGCAAAGGCCACAUAAGGACAGUGAGAAGGCAGCCACCUGCAAGCCAGGAAGAAAGGUCUCACCAGAUACCAACCCUGCCAGCAUGUUGAUCUUGGACUUCCAGCCUCCAAAACUGGCCUUCUGCUCACAUGGGCUUCCGUGCACCUGCUUCAGGAGACAGCAACACUUGCGCCCGCACCGCGGCAGGCUCCCAUCACCUGGUGGAUAUGCCGCGCCGAGUCUCAUCACACCUUAGUGAAGGAACACAUGGACCCAUAUGUUAGCGGAUGUAUUUACAUCGUUUUAUACAGAAAGGGGAAGAAAACUGCAUACCUCAGAAAGGGGUUGCUCCUCACUCUGAGUACUAGACUAAAGAUAAAAAGACUAGAUAAAAGUACUAGACUAAAGACAGAGCUGACCCAUGACAGAUGGAGUCUUGCUCUGUCACACAUGCUAGAGUCCAGUGGUAUGACCUCAGCUCACUGCAAUCUCUGCCUCCCGGGUUCAAAUGAUUCUUCUGCCUUGACCUCCCUGGCAGCUGGGACUACAGGCCUGCACCACCACGCCUGGCAAAUUUUUUAAUUUUUUUUAGUAGAGAUGGGGUUUCACCAUGUUGGCCAGGCUAGUCUCGAACUCCUGACCUCAAAUGAUCUGCCCGCUUUGGCCUUCCAAAGUUCUGGGAUUAUAGGAGUGAGCCACCAUGCCCAGCCUGUUCUUAAGUCUCCUAGAACAGGGAUUCUGAAACACAAAACUCAUCUGGUGAGAAGAAUGAGAGCAAGAGAGGUUAAAUGGGUCGUUCAAGUUCAUAAAGUACUGACAGAAGAUGACCCUGAACUGUUCUCACUAUAUUAAAAGUCAGACAAGUAUUAUUAUUAUUAUUACUAAUAUAAGUAGCUCCAAUUUAUGUGAUUCUCAUGAUUUGGAGGACCUUACCUAUAUUAGCUUAUUUAAUCUACACAGCAAACCUAGAUGGUAAAUAUUUUCAUUGCCAUUUUACAGAGGAGGAACUGAGGUUCCUGAGGGUUAGGAAACUUGUAACAUGAACUCCAUACAGAUAUACAGAAUGAUAUAAACAAAUAAACAAAUACAUAAAUGUGGAAGAAGUAAAAGCUCUUCCUUGGAGUAAAAGGCCACCUAAUAAAUGAGGCAGGAAUGAUAAAAUUAGAGAAAUCAUUUGCAAACAUCACAGUAUUAAUUGCUUAAAGGAAGAAUUAUAAAUAGAUAAUAAAGCUAGUGGGUGAAACAUUAAUGGGACUAAGAUAUUUAUCUAGCCCCAAAAGUUUUGCUCCAUAAAAAUACUUACUUAGGCUGGGCAUGGUGGUGCACACCUGUAAUUCUAGCACUUUGGGAGGCCGAGGUGGAAGGAUUACUUGAGCUUAAGAGUUCAAUGGCAGCCUGGACAACAUAGUGAGACCGCAUCUCUAAAAAAAAAAUUAGCCAGGUGUGGUAGUGCGUGUAUGUAUUCUCAGCUACUCAGGAGGCUGAGGUAGAAGGGAUCGCUUGAGCCCCAAGUUGAGGCCACAGUGAGCUGAGAUUGCACCACUGCACUCCAGCCUGGGUUACAGAGAGUGAUCCUGUCUCAACAAUAAAAUAAAAUAAAAUGAAAAAAAUAUUUAUUACAAAUGAAAAAAAUGACAUGUUUACACUGGAGAGGCCUACAGGCAUCAUCUUAACCAAUGAUCAAAGUUAAUAUCUACACGAAUAGGACAAAUAAUAUCAUUUCCCUCCUGACCUCAUGCAUGUUUAAAACACAACAUAACUUCUUGGUUAUUUCUGUCAAGAGUGCAUAACCUGAAACUAAUCAUAAGAAACCACCAGAUGACCCCACGAUGAGAGGUAUACUAAAAAAUAACUAAGCUAUUAUUUUAUUUUAUUUAUUUUUUGAGACAGAGUCUUGCUCUGUUGCCCAGGCUGGAGUGCAGUGGCGCAAUCUCAGCUCACUGCAACCUCAGCCUCCUGGGUUCAAGAGAUUCUCCUGCCUCAGCCUCCCAAGUAGCUGGGAUUACAGGCUUCUUUUUGUAUUUUUAGUAGAGAGGGGGUUUCACCAUGUUGGCCAGGCUGGUCUCAAACUCCUGACCUCAGGUGGUCCACCCACCUCGGCCUCCCAGUUUUGGGAUUAUAUGCGUGAGCCACUGCACUCAGCCACCAGACUUUUUUUUUUUUCUUUUUACUUUUUUUGAGACAGCAUCUCCCUCUGUCGCCCAGGCUGGAGUGCAAUGGCACAAUCUUGGCUCACUGCGACCUCCGCCUCCCAGGUUCAAGUGAUUCUCCUGUCUCAGCCUCCUGAGUAGCUGGAACUACAGGCGCCCGCCACCACGCCCGGCCAGUUUUUGUGUUUUUAGUGGAUAUGGGGGUUUCACCAUGUCGGUCAGGCUGGUCUCGAACUCCUCACCUCAGGUGAUCUGCCCGACUCAGCCUCCCAAAGUGCUGGGAUUAUAGAUGUGAGCCAUCGUGCCUGGCCUAUUUUGAAAGCAACAUAUAAUCCAACUUUUUCUUUUGUUAUAAAGAGCAAUAUAGGAACAAGGAGUGAAACACCAAGGCAAUUUGACAGUUAAAUGGUAGAAGUAGAUCAGUGUUAAUUUCCUGAUUUUGUAAUUAUACUGUGGUUAUGUAACAGAAUGUUCUUGUUUUAGAAAGUACACAUUGAAUAAUCAAUGGUCAUCUUGUCUGUAACUUAAUUUCAAAUGUUUCAAUAAAAAUAUGUGUAUGUUUGUGAGUGAUAAAACAAAUGUAGUAAUGUGUUAACACUGAAAAACUCUGUGAGAAGAUAUACUGGAAUUCUUUCUAUUAUUAUUUUUAAAUUUUCUUUAAAUCUAAAAUUAUGUCAGAAAGAAAGCUAAGGGCUGAGUACACUAGCUGAUGCCUGUAAUUCCAGCAGUUUGGGAGGCUGAAGCAGGAGGAUUGUUUGAGGCCAGGAGUUUGAGAUCAGCCUGGGUAACAUAGUGAAACUUCAUCUCCAUAAAAUAUUUUAAAAAUUAGCUGGGUGCAGUGGCAUGAACCUGUAGUCCUAGCUAGUUGGGAGGCUGGGGCAAGAGGAUUGCUUAAGCCCAGAAGUUCAAGGCUGCAGUGAGCUAUGAUUGUGCCGCUAUACUCCAGCCUGGGCCACAGAGCAAGACUCUAUCUCAAAUAAAUAAAUAAAUAAAGUUAAAGAAAAUAAAAAGAAAUCUACUACAGCCUCAGCUCUGGGAAUUAAACCAAUCCAGUCUUCCUGAGCUCAGAGGCCAUGCUCUCUAUCCUCAUGCAUCAGCGGGUUUACGCACUGAGAGCAUCUAAAGAAUUUGAAUGAGGAGCAAAGCUUUUUCAAAGGUUGGAUUAAACUACAAUUGUCCUCUCCAAAGAAUGUUCAGCUAUCCUUUAUGUACUCUGUUGCAAGUAUUUCAAGAAGGAGGCAAAGAGUUCUAAGAUGCAUUUCACAGCACUCCACAGAAGGAAGGUUCAGAGCCAAUCAUCUGCACCAGUGCCCAACUUAAAAACAUCCUUGUAUCAGUUUUCCCUUAUUUCCUGUUCUCCUCCCUAAACCUUCAGUCCUGUUCCUGGCAAUCACUUCCAGAAUAAACCAUAUACAUGCCUCAGAUUCUGAUCUCAGAGGAUCCCAGACUAAUACAGAGAUACACUAUGCUGAUUGCUUAACCCGCAUUUUCUCAUUUAAUUGAAACAUAUACGUGGUAAGGUAUUUAUUCAUACCUGCAUGAUUUUGUAGAUAAACCUUAGAGAAAUUAAUACUUUUCAGAAGGCAAUUAAAGUAACACAGCAAGCAAUUGAUAAAACCUGGAUUCGCCAAGUUAAACUGGUCUGGUUUCAAAACCUGUAUUGUUUCCUAACAUACCACCUAAAUUCUCAAAUGGUAUUGGAAGGGGUUAAAUGAGAUUAUAAAUGUAAAAUUCUUGGUAUAGUUAAUUCUCAAAAAUAGGCCUUCAAUCUAUAGAAUCCAUUUGUAGAACUAUCUUCAGGAAGGAAAAAUACAUCACCCUCCACCCCACCCUCAAAGAAACAUGGAAAAUUUAAACUAAGACUUCAAAUCUUGAGCUCUGCACAUCUUAGAAUAUUUUGUUUCUAUGAAAAAGAAGCUUUGGAGAAUGUGUAUCAGUCUGAAACACUGUAGUGUGAGCACAGAAAUCAGCCCAUCACAUUAUGCCCCAAAUGCUGAAGUACGGCUGAAUCUGAUUGCCCUGCAUUUUUAAGUACUGCAAAAUUCUGGGACUUGGGAUCAUCUGUUACUACAGACUUGUCAUAUUCCACUGAAAUAAAACAUAUAGUCUAAUUUGCAAAGUUCUCGUGUGGAAAGAGUCCUAAAAUGUAUAUAACCUCUGUCCCAGCAAUUCCAUUAGGAAUUUAUCCAAUCCAAAAUCUAAAAUGCAGAAGAUCUACAUAUUGAAUGCUUAUGGCAGCAUUCUUUAAAAUUAUGAAAAUUGAAAGCAACCAAAAUCCUCAAAAACAGACUAAUGGCUAAGUAGUAUAACCAUACUAUGAAAUGUGGUAAUUGAAUAUUCAAAUUUGUGUUGUAUAAAAAAUUAAUAAUGGUAUAACAUUUGGCUAUAAAAUAGAAUGAAUUCAAUUGUAUUUUUUAAACCAGUACAUCUGCAUAUUUGUGAACCUAAAAGAUAAGACGGUAAAUAUUUAACUGUAUUUUUCUUUAAUUGUUGGGGCUGUGAAUUAUUUUAAUUUUCUUAAUGCUUUUUAAUCUUCUCUGAAAAUUUUAUAAUAAUCUCUAAUAAUAAUUUAUAGCAAAAAAACCCAAAAUUUUAAAGGGUAUUCUUUUUGUAUUUUUAUCAAGAAUAAAAAUAUAUAUCAAU
rnacentral:lncRNA from 10 species